ACGGAGGAUUCGAGCGUUAUCCGGAUUUAUUGGGUUUAAAGGGUGCGUAGGCGGGCCUUUAAGUCAGUGGUGAAAUCCUGCAGCUUAACUGUAGAAUUGCCAUUGAAACUGAAGGUCUUGAAUAUGGACGAGGUAGGCGGAAUGAGUUAUGUAGCGGUGAAAUGCAUAGAUAUAACUCAGAACACCAAUUGCGUAGGCAGCUUACCAGACCAUUAUUGACGCUGAGGCACGAAAGCGUGGGUAGCGAACAGG
rnacentral:rRNA from 1 species